CAGUCGCCGCGGUAAUACGUAGGUGGCAAGCGUUGUCCGGAAUUAUUGGGCGUAAAGGGCUCGCAGGCGGUUUCUUAAGUCUGAUGUGAAAGCCCCCGGCUCAACCGGGGAGGGUCAUUGGAAACUGGGAAACUUGAGUGCAGAAGAGGAGAGUGGAAUUCCACGUGUAGCGGUGAAAUGCGUAGAGAUGUGGAGGAACACCAGUGGCGAAGGCGACUCUCUGGUCUGUAACUGACGCUGAAGAGCGAAAGCGUGGGGAGCGAACAGGAUUAGAUACCCGCGUAGUCCCUGUCUCUUAUAC
rnacentral:rRNA from 1 species